rnacentral:rRNA from 1 species
UACGUAGGGUCCGAGCGUUGUCCGGAAUUAUUGGGCGUAAAGAGCUCGUAGGCGGUUUGUCGCGUCUGCUGUGAAAUCCCGAGGCUCAACCUCGGGUCUGCAGUGGGUACGGGCAGACUGGAGUGCGGUAGGGGAGAAUGGAAUUCCUGGUGUAGCGGUGGAAUGCGCAGAUAUCAGGAGGAACACCGAUGGCGAAGGCAGUUCUCUGGGCCGUAACUGACGCUGAGGAGCGAAAGCAUGGGGAGCGAACAGG